rnacentral:rRNA from 1 species
CCUACGGGUGGCUGCAGUGAGGAAUAUUGGUCAAUGGGCGAGAGCCUGAACCAGCCAAGUCGCGUGAGGGAAGACGGUCCUAUGGAUUGUAAACCUCUUUUGCCGGGGAGCAAAAAGCGGUACGUGUACCCCGUCGAGAGUACCCGGAGAAAAAGCAUCGGCUAACUCCGUGCCAGCAGCCGCGGUAAUACGGAGGAUGCGAGCGUUAUCCGGAUUUAUUGGGUUUAAAGGGUGCGCAGGCGGCGUGUUAAGUCAGCGGUAAAAGUGCGGGGCUCAACCCCGACGAGCCGUUGAAACUGGCUGUCUUGAGAUGGCGAGAGGUAUGCGGAAUGCGCGGUGUAGCGGUGAAAUGCAUAGAUAUUGCGCAGAACUCCGAUUGCGAAGGCAGCAUACCGGCGGCGAUCUGACGCUGAGGCACGAAAGCGUGGGUAUCGAACAGGAUUAGAUACCCUUGUAGUC